GGAGGAUCGGCAUGUUACCAAUCUCCCCGGAAGAUAUCUAGCAGAUAAGAGCAGACAACACCUGGCGACACUGCAGCCUCAAUCAACUAUCCGAGGAGUGUAACAGCGAGGUCUAUUUAUAUGGGAUGGCGCAAAAGAUUUUUGAGACCUUCUGGAUCUGGCCCCAGAUCGUCCACGACACCCAUGUGACUGAGAGACUAGCAUGUGGGGUGGCAAAAAACACAAAUCGCACAUCUCCAGCUCUUACAUCCAUAGCUCAGGCAAUGGCCGCCCUUGAUUCAGGACUAACCCAGACUAAGAUGGCGAUUGACCUCCUUCUAGCUCCCACCGGCCUAGGCUGUGCAGAAAUGGAAGAGCAGCUGGGAAUGGAAGGCUUUUGCUGUCUUGACUUCAGCGCCAACGCUAUAACUGCUAUCGACAAAGUAAGAAAGGAGGCCAAAGACAUUGCCAAAUCGGUACUAAAGAUUGGAAUAGUAUCUUAUAUCCACUUUCAUUCAGUGCUAAAGAAAACAGAACAGUACCUCAGUGACAAAACCAGUAGAAUGGGUGACUGUUUCCAGUUCAUUCAGCAAGUCGUCUUUUGAAGGGAUGGAUGGACAAGCCUAUAGUCAAAUAAGGGAGCCCCUACAGAUGUUAUUUCUUUUACUGCCAACAAGUACAGAAUGAAUCAAAUCAACUCCGUGUCUACUGGGAAGCAAAGCCAUGGGUGAGUGACUUUUGACCACAUUUGUGUGUUGCUGUAGUGAAGUCCAGGUACUGAUCUUUGGUGAGGUCAAGCAACAAUCCAACAUGCUAUGCAGAUGUAAUUUCUUCUCUCCAGUUAGCACCUUCCUUGUAUGUGUCGUGGAGAUGAUGUGUUACAAAUCCUCACUUUCCCCCUUGCUUCUUGUGGUCUUCAGAACAAUUUGUCUCCCUUACUGCCAAACUAAACUUAACUAAAUAAGAUUACUUGCUGUUUAAAUAGGAUAAAUAUUACAAAUGUUGUCUAUAUAUUUGUUGUAAAGGUUAGUUUAACUGGGACUAGGGACAGUACAGAAAUAUUCAGGGUAAAAUCAAUGGGAUUUUGAAAAUAUAGCAGCCUUCUAUUUUGACAUCUGAAUCAGAAGCAGUCACAGAAGAUCCUUUUGGAGUUAGUAAAGUGAAAUAGGCACUGCUAGAGCAAAAUUCUUCUUAUCCUAAAGUAAAAUUCUAAAAUUAGCUAGAGAAGUCAAACCCUGAAUGUGUCCUCUUUGUUGAUAAGGACACACAGAAAAUCUAGUUCAGACUCAUAUGUUUUAUAUUAGAUGAAAUAUCUUAUACCUAGGAUUAGGAAUAUUGACUACUACAGUGAUCAGUACUGCUUAGAAUCAUAUACUCCAACAGUAUGAUAAGCAAAAAGUUCUAUAACUGCUUGUGUAUUUAAACUUCCAUGUAUUUUUAAAAUAUUGAAUGGAAGUAACUUUAAAUAAAUACAUACUUAUUUAUUUUAAAUGCAUACUUAUUUUAAAUUUUACUUUAAAGACAUAUUUAUUUUAAAUACAUAUAUUAAAUAUUUUAAAUACAUGUUUUAAAUGUAUUUGCACUCAAGAAAUCUCAGCUUUAAGAGGGGAAAUUUCAAAAGCUGCUUGAGAUUUUUGCCUCCAGACUAGUAACACUGCAGAGAAAGUUACUAUGAUGAAGCUUUCUUAAGAUGACUAUCAUCUGGAUUAAGCAAUAACCAGUCUACCAAGAAAAAAAAAAAAAAAAAAAGUGAGCUAAAUUGAAAAUAUUAAAGAAGGAUGCCAGUUUGUGCUGGAGUGAAAAGAGGGUUCAUGAGCAGCAUUCAAAAGCGUUUUGAUACUUCCAGAAAUCACUUCAUUGCAAUUUGACCCCUGCCCAGGCUGGGAUCAGCAGCAUCCUCCCUGGAAACUGCUGUAAACAGCUGCACUCGAGCUAGUGAGGUAACACUGUGGAGUGCAAGAAAUUGGGAACUCACAUCUCAGUUGUAUGUGUGUGGCCUCAUUGGUUGCACACUUGUAUGUGCAUUAGUGAGGUGUAAGGUGUAAUUUAUGUGCAUCUUGAAUGGACAAAAGUCUGGAGUACCUGUAUCUACUCCAGAGAGUUUACAGUGUGAUUCUGGGGGAGAGAUUAAAAGUUCUUGCUGU
ensembl:lncRNA